GACGAACGCUGGCGGCGUGCUUAACACAUGCAAGUCGAACGGACAGGCCCUGCUUUUGUGGGGUGCUCGAUUGGCGAACGGGUGAGUAACACGUGAGUAACCUGCCCUUGACUUUGGGAUAACUUCAAGAAACUGGGGCUAAUACCGGAUAGGAGCUCCUGCUGCAUGUUGGGGGUUGGAAAAUUUCGGCGGUUGGGGAUGGACUCGCGGGUUAUCCGCUUGUUUGUGGAGUAGUGGCUUACCAAGGUUUUGACGGGUAGCCUGCAUGAGAGGGUGACCGGCCACAUUGGGACUGAGAUACGGCCCAGUAUCCUACGGGAGGCAGUAGUGGGGAAUAUGGCACAAUGGGCGGAAGCCUGAUGCAGCAACGCCGCGUGCGGGAUGAUGGCCUUCGGGUUGUAAACCGCUUUCGCCUGUGCCGAAGCGUGAGUGACGGUAAUGGGUAAAGAAGCAACGGCUAACUACGUG
rnacentral:rRNA from 1 species